UGCUCUCCUCAGGAUUUAAACUACUUCACCUCUGUGCAGAUUUGAUCAUUCAACAAAUAUUUAUUGAACAUCUGCUAUGUGUGUCGAACCUGUAGAUAUGGUGGUUAACAAGAUAAAAAAAAACCCUCUUACUUUCAUUGUGUUUGCAUUUUAGCGAGGAAGACAUUAAACAAAACAGGGAUGGAACUCGGGACCUUGUGCUUACAAGGCAGGUGGCGGAACCACUGAGCUAAAUCCCAGGCCUUAUGGAAAGAUUUUCUUAAGAAAUGACCUUUACUUUGAAAACUGAAGAACUUGGGGAAUCAACACAAGAAAAUAAGAAGACAUUUUCAGGCAGAGGAACAGCAUUGUGACACUGAGGUAGCAAUAAGCCUGUCCUUCUUGAAGAACAGAAGGUUAGAGUGGUGAAGAGAACUAUGCAGGGUGGACAGAAUUUCUCGGAGCAGCAUUUUUAAAGGGUCCCAGGAAUGUCCCAAACAGUUUCUCAAUAGUAUCUGAAGUUGGACCAGUUGGAUUUAAUCUCAAUUCCAUCACUUAUUAAUUUUGAGGAGGCCCAGAGUUUAUUUGUGAACUUAAGGGCUAAAUGUGUUUGUGGUAGACCAAGGCCAGUCCUGCCUGCAAAAUAAGUGGAAAACUCCUACACCCUGCUGCCCAGGUGUAGAUAAGGAGAGAUUGUCCCAGGCCGGGCACCACAAGCAUUUCAAGGUCUGUAAUCUGGACAUUAGCCUGAAUGAAGCAGCUCGGUGAUUAUGCAGUAAACAAAAUUAUCACCAUGCGGGAAAACAUGGAGAAUCUGUCCUCCACACUUAGGAGAAAAAUGUAUUGUUUUGAGAACUUUACAGUUGCACAUAUUUCAUCCACUUGUUUCCUUAAAGCAAUUGUUAAGCCUGCAUGCUUUUUAGGCUGGUCGCUGCUUUAAAUGCUGCUCCUCCAUUAACUGUGUGAUCCAAGGCAAGAGACCACAUCUGUCUUGUAUGCUGAUAAAUCUUCAGAUGAAGACCAGUGCCUUGCAUAGUA